rnacentral:misc_RNA from 1 species
CGUUGUUUGAGAUCAGGGAGAAAAUUGAUGGUUUUCGUAAUGCUGUUGAAGGGUCUCUUGCUGCUUUACAAAACAGGCUUAAACAAAGAGCUGAUGCUGUAGAAGCCAGGGAAGUUCUUGAACUUUUGCUUGAUACUUUUCAUGUUGUUUCUAAAGUUGAAAAAUUGAUUAAGGAGUUACCAAGUGGACAAACUGAUUAUGUUG